AUUGAACGCUGGCGGCAGGCCUAACACAUGCAAGUCGAACGAGUGGCGGACGGGUGAGUAAUGUCUAGGAAACUGACUGAUGGAGGGUGAUAACUACUGGAAACGGUAGCUAAUACCGCAUACCAUCGGAUGUGCCCAGAGGGGAUUAGCUAGUAGGUGGGGUAACGGCUCACCUAGGCGACGAUCCCUAGCUGGUCUGAGAGGAUGACCAGCAACACGGGAACUGAGACAUGGUCCAGACUCCUACGGGAGGCAGCAGUGGGGAAUAGGGCACAAUUGGCGCAAGCCUGAUGCAGCCAUGACGCGUGUAUGAAGAAGGCCUGCGGGUUGUAAAGUACUUUCAGCGGGGAGGCGUUACUCGCAGAAGAAGCAACGGCUAACUCCGUGCCAGCAGCCGCGGUAAUUC
rnacentral:rRNA from 1 species